AUAACAAUACAGGACUCUUUAGAGGCCCUGUAAUUGUAAUGAGUCCACUUGAAAUCCUUUAACUCUGAUCAAUUGGCGGGCAAGUAUGGUGCAGAGCAACUAACCCAU
rnacentral:rRNA from 1 species